GGGUUCGAGGAGGCGGUUCAGAGCUUCCUGGACCGUGACAGGGAGGGGCUUGUGAAAGUGCUGUGCAUCUGGAGGGUGGACCCCAAAGGCCUACGCUACCAAAGGGGCAGCAAGGCCUAUUGCCUCACGGUCAUUCAAACUGCUUCUGACCACAAGGAGAAGGAGAGAGUGCUUUCUUUCCCACAGCGCCCCCUGCUGUUGCUGUGCUGCAGCGUGUUCCCCCAGCAGGCUCAGGCUGAGGCUUACACCCGUGCUCACAUACCUGAGCAUGCAGCAGAGAGCAUCGUGGAUGUUUUUGCCCCGGUCCGUAACAUCUUGACAGGGG